UACGUAGGCAGCAAGCGUUGUUCGGAGUUACUGGGCGUAAAGGGUGCGUAGGCGGUUGUUUAAGUUUGGUGUGAAAUCUCCCGGCUCAACCGGGAGGGUGCGCCGAAUACUGAGGGACUAGAGUGCGGGAGAGGAAAGUGGAAUUCCUGGUGUAGCGGUGAAAUGCGUAGAUAUCAGGAGGAACACCGGUGGUGUAGACGGCUUUCUGGACCGUAACUGACGCUGAGACACGAAAGCGUGGGUAGCAAACAGG
rnacentral:rRNA from 1 species